AGGUGAACCUGCGGAAGGAUCAUUCAUAAUAAGUGUUUUAUGGCACUUUUUAAAUCCAUAUCCACCUUGUGUGCAAUGUCAGUCGAUCUUCUUCAUGGAGAUCGGCCAAACAUCAACCUUAUUUUUUAACUCUUUGUCUGAAAAAUAUUAUGAAUAAACAAUUCAAAAUACAACUUUCAACAACGGAUCUCUUGGCUCUCG
rnacentral:misc_RNA from 1 species